rnacentral:rRNA from 1 species
GAUGAACGCUGGCGGCGUGCCUAAUACAUGCAAGUCGAGCGAACGGACGAGAGGCUUGCUUCUCUGAUGUUAGCGGCGGACGGGUGAGUAACACGUGGAUAACCUACCUAUAAGACUGGGAUAACUUCGGGAAACCGGAGCUAAUACCGGAUAAUAUUUUGAACCGCAUGGUUCAAAAGUGAAAGACGGUCUUGCUGUCACUUAUAGAUGGAUCCGCGCUGCAUUAGCUAGUUGGUAAGGUAACGGCUUACCAAGGCAACGAUGCAUAGCCGACCUAAGAGGGUGAUCGGCCACACUGGAACUGAGACACGGUCCAGACUCCUACGGGAGGCAGCAGUAGGGAAUCUUCCGCAAUGGGCGAAAGCCUGACGGAGCAACGCCGCGUGAGUGAUGAAGGUCUUCGGAUCGUAAAACUCUGUUAUUAGGGAAGAACAUAUGUGUAAGUAACUGUGCACAUCUUGACGGUACCUAAUCAGAAAGCCACGGCUAACUACGUG